GAAUAAGGUAGCAGUUGGACUAUAUUAAGAUAAGAAACACUCACGAGAGAAAUUCAUCAUUUUUUUUUGGGUAAAUCUUACUGCUGAACAAAAAUUCUUGAUAUUGUGAUAAGAAAUUCCCCCUGAAAAUUGAUCGAGAGCAUUUAAACAGCUCCCAAAUUGAAUCAGUGUGAAAUCAUCCACGAAAGAAUUAGGAAUCAAGUCUAAAAAAAAAUCUUAAAAUGAAGUGUAUUGUGAUAGUUUUAAUUCUACUUUGCGGCCAAUCUUUGGCACAACAAACAACAUUUUCUUAUGGGCAAGGGGAGGAAGGGCAGCAUCUUUUGGGUUAUGAUUUUGGUGCAACAUAUACAACGGAAACGUCUCAACCACAUCAAGUAGUUCUUCGAUUUAGUGGACCUCUGGGCACACGAAUUACACAAAUUCAUGGAAAUGUCUAUCCAUCUUGGACAUUUGUAGAACGACCAUCUGCCCUCCAGCAUGAGUUCUACUUUUCAGUUGGGAACAAUAACGCAACGUUCAUGUGGGCUGAUAUGUAUGUUUUUGGAUUUCCACCAAAUCCAUAAUUAAAGAAUUAAGACUUUGAAUUUUAA